rnacentral:rRNA from 1 species
GGGUUGUGAGGUUAAGCGACUAAGCGUACACGGUGGAUGCCCUGGCAGUCAGAGGCGAUGAAGGACGUGCUAAUCUGCGAUAAGCGUCGGUAAGGUGAUAUGAACCGUUAUAACCGGCGAUUUCCGAAUGGGGAAACCCAGUGUGAUUCGUCACACUAUCAUUACGUGAAUACAUAGCGUAAUGAAGCGAACCGGGGGAACUGAAACAUCUAAGUACCCCGAGGAAAAGAAAUCAACCGAGAUUCCCCCAGUAGCGGCGAGCGAACGGGGAGCAGCCCAGAGUCUGAAUCAGCUUGUGUGUUAGUGGAACGGUCUGGAAAGUCCGACGGUACAGGGUGAUAGUCCCGUACACCAAAAUGCACAGGUUGUGAACUCGAAGAGUAGGGCGGGACACGUGGUAUCCUGUCUGAAUAUGGGGGGACCAUCCUCCAAGGCUAAAUACUCCUGACUGACCGAUAGUGAACCAGUACCGUGAGGGAAAGGCGAAAAGAACCCCGGCGAGGGGAGUGAAAAAGAACCUGAAACCGUGUACGUACAAGCAGUGGGAGCAUCCUUUUGGGUGUGACUGCGUACCUUUUGUAUAAUGGGUCAGCGACUUAUAUUCUGUAGCAAGGUUAACCGUAUAGGGGAGCCGAAGGGAAACCGAGUCUUAACUGGGCGUUAAGUUGCAGGGUAUAGACCCGAAACCCGGUGAUCUAGCCAUGGGCAGGUUGAAGGUUGGGUAACACUAACUGGAGGACCGAACCGACUAAUGUUGAAAAAUUAGCGGAUGACUUGUGGCUGGGGGUGAAAGGCCAAUCAAACCGGGAGAUAGCUGGUUCUCCCCGAAAGCUAUUUAGGUAGCGCCUCGUGAAUUCAUCUUCGGGGGUAGAGCACUGUUUCGGCUAGGGGGUCAUCCCGACUUACCAACCCGAUGCAAACUGCGAAUACCGAAGAAUGUUAUCACGGGAGACACACGGCGGGUGCUAACGUCCGUCGUGAAGAGGGAAACAACCCAGACCGCCAGCUAAGGUCCCAAAGUCAUGGUUAAGUGGGAAACGAUGUGGGAAGGCACAGACAGCCAGGAUGUUGGCUUAGAAGCAGCCAUCAUUUAAAGAAAGCGUAAUAGCUCACUGGUCGAGUCGGCCUGCGCGGAAGAUGUAACGGGGCUAAACCAUGCACCGAAGCUGCGGCAGCGACACUAUGUGUUGUUGGGUAGGGGAGCGUUCUGUAAGCCGUUGAAGGUGUAUCGUGAGGUAUGCUGGAGGUAUCAGAAGUGCGAAUGCUGACAUAAGUAACGAUAAUGCGGGUGAAAAACCCGCACGCCGGAAGACCAAGGGUUCCUGUCCAACGUUAAUCGGGGCAGGGUGAGUCGACCCCUAAGGCGAGGCCGAAAGGCGUAGUCGAUGGGAAACAGGUUAAUAUUCCUGUACUUGGUGUUACUGCGAAGGGGGGACGGAGAAGGCUAUGUUAGCCGGGCGACGGUUGUCCCGGUUUAAGCAUGUAGGCGGAGGUUCCAGGUAAAUCCGGUACCUUUUUAACGCUGAGGUGUGAUGACGAGGCACUACGGUGCUGAAGUAACAAAUGCCCUGCUUCCAGGAAAAGCCUCUAAGCAUCAGGUAACACGAAAUCGUACCCCAAACCGACACAGGUGGUCAGGUAGAGAAUACCAAGGCGCUUGAGAGAACUCGGGUGAAGGAACUAGGCAAAAUGGUGCCGUAACUUCGGGAGAAGGCACGCUGAUAUGUAGGUGAAGUGAUUUACUCAUGGAGCUGAAAUCAGUCGAAGAUACCAGCUGGCUGCAACUGUUUAUUAAAAACACAGCACUGUGCAAACACGAAAGUGGACGUAUACGGUGUGACGCCUGCCCGGUGCCGGAAGGUUAAUUGAUGGGGUUAUCCGUAAGGAGAAGCUCUUGAUCGAAGCCCCGGUAAACGGCGGCCGUAACUAUAACGGUCCUAAGGUAGCGAAAUUCCUUGUCGGGUAAGUUCCGACCUGCACGAAUGGCGUAAUGAUGGCCAGGCUGUCUCCACCCGAGACUCAGUGAAAUUGAACUCGCUGUGAAGAUGCAGUGUACCCGCGGCAAGACGGAAAGACCCCGUGAACCUUUACUAUAGCUUGACACUGAACACUGGUCCUUGAUGUGUAGGAUAGGUGGGAGGCUUUGAAGUGUGGACGCCAGUCUGCAUGGAGCCAUCCUUGAAAUACCACCCUUUAAUGGCUGGUGUUCUAACGUGGACCCGUAAUCCGGGUUGCGGACAGUGUCUGGUGGGUAGUUUGACUGGGGCGGUCUCCUCCUAAAGAGUAACGGAGGAGCACGAAGGUUAGCUAAUCCUGGUCGGACAUCAGGAGGUUAGUGCAAAGGCAUAAGCUAGCUUGACUGCGAGAGUGACGGCUCGAGCAGGUGCGAAAGCAGGUCUUAGUGAUCCGGUGGUUCUGAAUGGAAGGGCCAUCGCUCAACGGAUAAAAGGUACUCCGGGGAUAACAGGCUGAUACCGCCCAAGAGUUCAUAUCGACGGCGGUGUUUGGCACCUCGAUGUCGGCUCAUCACAUCCUGGGGCUGAAGUAGGUCCCAAGGGUAUGGCUGUUCGCCAUUUAAAGUGGUACGCGAGCUGGGUUUAGAACGUCGUGAGACAGUUCGGUCCCUAUCUGCCGUGGGCGCUGGAGAAUUGAGGGGGGCUGCUCCUAGUACGAGAGGACCGGAGUGGACGCAUCACUGGUGUUCGGGUUGUCAUGCCAAUGGCAUUGCCCGGUAGCUAAAUGCGGAAGAGAUAAGUGCUGAAAGCAUCUAAGCACGAAACUUGCCCCGAGAUGAGUUCUCCCUGAGACUAUAAGUCUCCUGAAGGAACGUUAAAGACGAUGACGUUGAUAGGUCGGGUGUGUAAGUGUAGCGAUACAUUGAGCUAACCGAUACUAAUGAACCGUGAGGCUUAACCUUACAACGCCGAAG